ACUGAACGCUGGCGGCAGGCCUAACACAUGCAAGUCGAACGAGUGGCGGACGGGUGAGUAAUGUCUGGGAAACUGCCUGAUGGAGGGGGAUAACUACUGGAAACGGUAGCUAAUACCGCAUACCAUCGGAUGUGCCCAGAUUGGAUUAGCUAGUAGGUGGGGUAAAGGCUCACCUAUGCGACGAUCCCUAGCUGGUCUGAGAGGUGGACCUGCAACGCUGGAAUGGAGACACGGUCCAGACUCCUACGGGAGGCAGCAGUGGGGAAUAUUGCACAAUGGGCGCAAGCCUGAUGCAGCCAUGCCGGGUGUAUGAAGAAGGCCUUCGGGUUGUAAAGUACUUUCAGCGGGGAGGCGUUACCCGCAGAAGAAGCACCGGCUAACUCCGUGCCAGCAGCCGCGGUAUUC
rnacentral:rRNA from 1 species